rnacentral:rRNA from 1 species
AUUGAACGCUGGCGGCAUGCCUAACACAUGCAAGUCGAACGGCAGCACGGCAGUAGCAAUACUGUGGGUGGCGAGUGGCGGACGGGUGAGGAAUACGUCGGAAUCUGCCCAGUCGUGGGGGAUAACUAGCCGAAAGGUUAGCUAAUACCGCAUACGACCGAGAGGUGAAAGGCGGGGGACCGCAAGGCCUCGCGCGAUUGGAUGAGCCGACGUCGGAUUAGCUAGUUGGUGGGGUAAAGGCCCACCAAGGCGACGAUCCGUAGCUGGUCUGAGAGGAUGAUCAGCCACACUGGAACUGAGACACGGUCCAGACUCCUACGGGAGGCAGCAGUGGGGAAUAUUGGACAAUGGGCGCAAGCCUGAUCCAGCAAUGCCGCGUGUGUGAAGAAGGCCU